AGUCGAGCGAACGGACGAGAAGCUUGCUUCUCUGAUGUUAGCGGCGGACGGGUGAGUAACACGUGGAUAACCUACCUAUAAGACUGGGAUAACUUCGGGAAACCGGAGCUAAUACCGGAUAAUAUUUUGAACCGCAUGGUUCAAAAGUGAAAGACGGUCUUGCUGUCACUUAUAGAUGGAUCCGCGCUGCAUUAGCUAGUUGGUAAGGUAACGGCUUACCAAGGCAACGAUGCAUAGCCGACCUGAGAGGGUGAUCGGCCACACUGGAACUGAGACACGGUCCAGACUCCUACGGGAGGCAGCAGUAGGGAAUCUUCCGCAAUGGGCGAAAGCCUGACGGAGCAACGCCGCGUGAGUGAUGAAGGUCUUCGGAUCGUAAAACUCUGUUAUUAGGGAAGAACAUAUGUGUAAGUAACUGUGCACAUCUUGACGGUACCUAAUCAGAAAGCCACGGCUAACUACGUGCCAGCAGCCGCGGUAAUACGUAGGUGGCAAGCGUUAUCCGGAAUUAUUGGGCGUAAAGCGCGCGUAGGCGGUUUUUUAAGUCUGAUGUGAAAGCCCACGGCUCAACCGUGGAGGGUCAUUGGAAACUGGAAAACUUGAGUGCAGAAGAGGAAAGUGGAAUUCCAUGUGUAGCGGUGAAAUGCGCAGAGAUAUGGAGGAACACCAGUGGCGAAGGCGACUUUCGUGGUCUGUAACUGACGCUGAUGUGCGAAAGCGUGGGGAUCAAACAGGAUUA
rnacentral:rRNA from 1 species